rnacentral:tRNA from 1 species
AAAAAGGUAAGCUAACGCAAGCUUAUAGGUUCAUACCCUGUCAAUGAAAGUGAAGCCUUUCCCUUUUUA